GAUGAACGCUGGCGGCGUGCCUAAUACAUGCAAUUCGAGCGAACAGACGAGGAGCUUGCUCCUCUAACUUUACCGGCGGACGGGUGAGUAACACGUGGAUAACCUACCUAUAAGACUGGGAUAACUUCGGGAAACCGGAGCUAAUACCGGAUAAUAUAUUGAACCGCAUGGUUCAAUAGUGAAAGACGGUUUUGCUGUCACUUAUAGAUGGAUCCGCGCCGCAUUAGCUAGUUGGUAAGGUAACGGCUUACCAAGGCAACGAUGCGUAGCCGACCUGAGAGGGUGAUCGGCCACACUGGAACUGAGACACGGUCCAGACUCCUACGGGAGGCAGCAGUAGGGAAUCUUCCGCAAUGGGCGAAAGCUUGACGGAGCAACGCCGCGUGAGUGAUGAAGGUCUUCGGAUCGUAAAACUCUGUUAUUAGGGAAGAACAAAUGUGUAAGUAACUAUGCACGUCUUGACGGUACCUAAUCAGAAAGCCACGGCUAACUACGUG
rnacentral:rRNA from 1 species